rnacentral:rRNA from 1 species
GACGUAGGGCGCGAGCGUUGUCCGGAUUUAUUGGGCGUAAAGAGCUCGUAGGCGGCUUGUCGCGUCGUCCGUGAAAACCUGGGGCUCAACCCCAGGCUUGCGGUCGAUACGGGCAGGCUAGAGUUCGGUAGGGGAGACUGGAAUUCCUGGUGUAGCGGUGAAAUGCGCAGAUAUCAGGAGGAACACCGGUGGCGAAGGCGGGAUCCUGGGCCAGUACUGACGCUGAGGAGCGAAAGCGUGGGGAGCAAACAGG